rnacentral:misc_RNA from 1 species
UUUGUUGGACCCUUCUUGCGUAGACAGGAAAGGGAGAACGCUGCUACCAAUACAAAAUUCAAUAAUGUUUUUGUAAAGAAUCUCUCACAAUCUACUACAGAAGAUGAUCUGAGAGAGACUUUUGGCAAAUUUGGAACAAUAACUAGUGUGGUUGUUAUGAAGGAGGCUGAUGGGAAAUCCAAGUGCUUUGGUUUUGUCAAUUUUGAAAAUCCAGAUGCUGCUGCUCAAGCUGUUCAGGAACUUAAUGGCAAAACCUUUGAUGAAAAGGAGUGGUAUGUAGGGAAAGCCCAAAAGAAAUCUGAAAGAGAGAAUGAAUUAAGAGGCAGGUAUGAACAAAAUGUAAAGGAAACUGUUGACAAGUACCAAGGCCAUAAUUUAUACCUGAAGAACUUGGAUGACAACAUAGGUGACGAAGAACUCAAGGAAUUAUUUUCUGAAUUUGGGACAAUUACAUCUUGUAAGAUUAUGCGGGAUCCAAAUGGAAUAAGUAGAGGAUCUGGAUUUGUAGCCUUCUCAACGGCUGAAGAAGCAUCUCGGGCUCUUGCUGAGAUGAAUACAAAAAUAGUUGGAAGCAAACCGCUGUAUGUUGCCGUUGCACAGCGUAAAGAAGAACGAAGAGCAAGAUUACAGGCGCAAUUUUCUCAAAUGCGUCCAGUUGCAAUGCCUUCUCCUGUUGCGCCUCGUGUGCCAAUGUAUCCUUCCGGUGCUCCGGGAAUUGGUCAGCAGCUAUUUUAUGGCCAAGCACCUCCUGCUAUUAUACCACCCCAGCCUGGAUUUGGCUACCAGCAGCAGCUGGUUCCUGGAAUGAGGCCUGGAGCUGCUCCCAUGCCAAACUUUUUCGUGCCAUUUGUCCAGCAAGGUCAACAAGCCCAAAGGCCAGGUGGUAGGCGCACUGGAGCUGGACCUGUGCAGCAGACUCAGCAUCCUGUCCCCAUGUUUCCUCAACAGAUGGUGCCAAGGGCACGCAUGUACCGCUUCCCACCAGGCCGCAACAUGGCCGAAGGCCCCAUUCCUGGAUAUGCUGGUGGAAUGUCCCCUGUCCCAUAUGACAUGGGUGGCCUGCCCCCUCGUGAUGCUGUCAUGCCACAGCCUGUUCCCAUUGGAGCGCUGUCUUCAUCUCUUGCAAAUGCACCUCCUGAACAGCAGAGGCUGAUGCUCGGAGAAAGUUUGUAUCCACUUGUUGAUCAGCUGGAGCAUGACCAUGCUGCGAAAGUCACUGGAAUGCUGCUGGAGAUGGACCAGACUGAAGUCCUGCAUCUUCUGGAGUCUCCGGAUGCUCUCAGGGCUAAGGUUGGUGAAGCUAUGGAAGUUUUGAGGUCACAUCCGCAGGUUGGUGCUCCGUCCGACCAGCUGGCUUCACUCUCCUUGAAUGAUGGUAUUGCUUCUUAGGUCUAGUCUUUUAGUUUGUUAUGAGUUUGGUUAUGGAGUAGUUCUGAGUUUCUUUGGAUAAGUACUGUUUGGAGUUGGUGCUGAACUAUUUAUGUUGCUGCUGUUUUUCCCCCUUGGUUUGUCUUGUGUUCUGACUGUUAGGAUUUGUCAGACUU